UGAAAAGGUUAGGGUUUGGAUUUAGGGGGGUGUCUCUUCUUUUCGCUCUCUAAUGCCUAGGGAGUGACUAUUCUGGACGUAGAGAGUCCACGGUAGCUCGUGCUGUCCUUCUGCAGGGCCAGGAAGGGGAGCUCAGGUGCUUUUCAGAGCUUGAGACCCAGCGACCCCCGCCCAGGAGGCUUUCUCCUUCACCAUGGCCGAACUGAUCCAAAAGAAGCUGCAGGGAGAGGUAGAGAAAUAUCAACAGCUGCAGAAGGGUAAGAGAGCGGAGCUGGUGUGGUCUUGUCCCUGUCCACUCUCAACUCUGAUGAGGCGUCGUGCCCCAUCAGAGGGUAGGAAGGGGGGAUAUUGUGUGCAGCGAACUCGGUAUCCUCUCUUUCUUCCUCGCAACCAUUCUCCCCAGAAUUGUGCGGUUCCGGGCCCAUUUGAUGUUUCUAAUCGUGUAUUUCCUCUCACCAUCCCAGACUUGAGUAAAUCCAUGUCAGGGAGGCAGAAGCUUGAAGCCCAGCUAACGGAAAAUAACAUUGUGAAGGAGGUGAGGGUGGGACGCUGGGGGAGGGGGGGAAGG
rnacentral:lncRNA from 1 species